ensembl:rRNA 5S_rRNA 5S ribosomal RNA
UUGUGCAGCUAGCUCUCUGCAAUUCUCACAUGGUCAUCCACUGAAGCUAAGCGUGGCUGUACCCGGUCAGUACCUGGAUAGGAAACCACAUGGGAAAGCUAGGUUGCUGCCGAAA